GCGGGUGUAGCUCAGUUGGUUAGAGUGCCGGCCUGUCACGCCGGAGGUCGCGGGUUCGAGCCCCGUCACU
rnacentral:tRNA from 1 species